CCUGAACGCCGGCGGCGUGGCUAAGACAUGCAAGUCGAACGGGUGUAGCAAUACACCAGUGGCGGACGGGUGAGUAAUGUAUCGCUAACGUGCCCUGGAAUCUGAGAUAGCCAAUCGAAAGGUUGGGUAAUACCAGAUGAAACAUCCUUAUCGCAUGAUGAGGAUCUCAAAGGAGCAAUCCGGUCUGGGAGCGGGCGAUAUCGUAUCAGCAGUUGGUGAGGUAACGGCUCACCAAGGCGACGACGCGUAGCCGGCUGAGAGGUCGGCCGGCCACAUUGGGACUGAGACACUGCCCAGACUCCUACGGGGGGCUGCAGUAACGAAUCUUCCGCAAUGCACGAAAGUGUGACGGAGCGACGCCGCGUGUAGGAUG
rnacentral:rRNA from 1 species